GAAAGAGACACAAAUACAGACUGCCUGUUUAGGAAGCCAGAGUGGUAGACCCAGACCCGGAGCCAUCCCCUACCAGCGCCUACAACCUCAGAUCCCCAAAACAAGAAGGAACAUUUACUAUGGAGCAAACAAGACUCACCUUGACAAAAUCCUUACUAAGUGCUCAUUCAACUUUUAACAAUGGGGAACUUUAGCUCUGCCAAUCUGUACCCAUGUGACGGGGGAACAAGCAAGUCACUUAAUUUCAAGUCUAAGAGGUUGUUGAAGACAAUAACCUCUACAGUCUCUCCUUAGCUUAUGAAUCUAUGAAUUUGAUUGUCAAUGUUUUUCCUAAACUGCGGUACCCAGCAUGAAUGAAUGAAUGAAUAUUUAUUAAGCACUUACUAUAUGACAGGAGUAUCCCGUGCUGUCCUGCUUCUGUAUAGUCCUAUAUGUCUGGAAUGCCCUCUUUUCCUCCUGCUGAAAUCUUACUCAUUCUUUAUUUUAUUUUUAAAUUAUUAGUUAAUGCUUAAGUUAAAUGUUUAUUGGUAUUCUCUACUUCCCUGUCACUUCCAGACCCUCCUUCCUAGAAUCAAAUUUUCAAUAAUAACAGCAGCAGAAACAGCAAAAACAACUUCAAUAGCAACUGUAGCAAAAACAACAGUAACAAUAGUAAUAACAGCAGCAACAAUAACCGCAGCAGCAACAAACUGGAUCUCAUUCAGGUUGAAAAGGACCUCAAAGGUAAUCUAGUUCAGUAUCUUUAUCUUACAGAUGGGAAAAAUGAGAUUUAAGGAAGUUGUGUAUAAGUUGAAUAAAAUCACUUGCCAAGACUCUGGCAGGUUAGAGCUCUUUCCACUGUACCACACUGCCUGUCCUGGUCAAGCCAAACAAAUCAGGCUGCACUAGCCAUCUGCCUCAUUUGGUACCCAUGGCCCCAACUUUCUCUUGAGUGGUAGGAGAUGCUCCAUGGUCAGUCCUCUGAUGUCAUAAUUCUUAGUCAUCCUUGAAAGCCCAAGGCAGAGAAGACUUUUCUAAUGCAUUUCAUGUGACAUGAUGGUCAUGUCUGGCUUACCUGUGGAUCUUGGGCAGACAUUUCAGUUUUCUGGAUCUCAUUUCUUUGGCUUUAAAAUGACGGGGUGGGAGUUGAUGAUUUCCAAAGUCCUUUCUAUAUCUAUAUAGGUCAUUCUGUGACCCCACAAUGUGAGCUCUGUGAGGGCAGGAACCAUGCCUUAUCUAAACUCUCCAUGUACACAGCCUAGGAUUCCAUACUCAGAAGGUGCUUACUAUUUGCUAAAUUGAAUUUGCAUAACGUAAACAAUGUGGAUUCAAAGUGAGAAGAUCUGGGUAUGAAUUUUAUGAUUUGCUUCACUGGGCCCAAGCAUUCUCAUCGUAACAUGAGCAGCUUUGGAUGCCUUCCAUGGACUUAAGAGUCUUUCAGCUCUAAAUCUCGAUUAUCUGAGCUGCAUUAAAUUGGGAAUGUGAUGACCAUGGUUUGGGACUUGGAGAUCCUGGAGAUAUAGAUCUGGGGAGCCUCAGCUUAAGAGCAGCAUGUUGAAAGCCAGGGAUGUGUGAGUUCACCUGGGGAGGAGGUGUGGAGGCAGAAGAGCAGGGGGCUGAAGACUGAGUUUUGAGAGGCACAAGCUAAGCCAAUGGGAGCUAGGGAACAGAAGCCUACUAAGGAGGCUGAGGAGGAGCGGUCUGAGAACUAGGAGAUGGGAUAGGAAGGAACACCCUCAUGGAAAGACUGGAUGGAGUUGUCAGAAAGAUAGGGGAGAAAAUGAGGACUGAGGAAAGGACAAUGGCAUUGGCAAGAGUGAGGUAACCCUGAUGAUAUUUGUAGCUGAGGACCUUGGGAAGAUACAACUAAAGAUGUGUCCUGUGCUGGAAAGCAGACCCUGGCAAGCCACAUGCAGGAGCAAAGGGCCUCAAGUUCUGGCACUCGUGAACUCCUGUCUUAUCCCCUCUCACUCCCAGAGACCCUGGGGAAGGGCAGGCAGGAGGAUUCCCAAAGCAGGAUGGACUGCCUGGCAUCUUACCAGGAAUAUGAGAAGGGAUGUUCCUGUUCAGAGAGAAGCUGUACUAAAGGCCCCAUGAUAUCCAUUUUAUAGAUAGGGAAACUGAGUGUCAGAGAGAAGCAUCUUGUCAGUGGUCACACAGUUUGUGAAGGGUUAUUGCUGGGACUGGAACAAAGGCCUCCUAACUCCUGGUCCAGUGCAAUUCCCACCAUAGUUUGUAAGAAAAGUAAAGCAUUCAGUCAGAUGAAGAGAUGAUGAUGACUUUAAAAAAUAGUCACCGCUGCUAUUUCCAGGCCUCGGUGUCCCAGCUUAGGACAAGACCAGCCUGCUUUCCUCUCAGGGAUUAGUCAGGGGACCAGUGAAUUGAGUGCUACUGAAGUAAUAGCUAAAGCAUAGGUGGCAGAUCUCUGGGCAUCAGUUUUGGAUUUGUCAUCAAGUGACCUUUUGAUAAAUCCCUCCCUUCCUUGGGAGUUGUAUAAAAGAAGUGGGUGAUCCCUAAGGUCUUUUCCAGCUAUGACACUACCUGGACCUAAGCCUCCUGUGAACUGUCAGCUACAGAAGAUUGUGAAUCACUCCUGAAGUUUCAUUGAGAGAAUGCAUGGGCGAGUCCAGAGAAAAGGUGGUAGGGUGGGAGCAGAUCUAAAGGAGGAACUAGGAAAUUAGAGAAGCUGGGUCCUAGCCUUGGCUCUGCCACCUUGGACCCACCACAACUUCUUGAGGCCUCCCUCAUAUGCCAGCUAUUUAUUAAAUUCUAAUAAUGUACAGACACUGUACACAGGAAAACAGACAGUCCCUACUCUCAAGAAGCUCCAGGUAAAUUUAGUAGGGAAGACAGAAUAUAUUUAUAUAUAUAAUUAUAUGUGAGAACAUAUGUGACAAUUCCAGAGCUCUAAGAUAGAUGAGGUCACAUCUGGUUGGGAGAAUAAAGAAAAGCUUCUUGGAGGAAUUAGCUGACUUUGAGAUUUUGGUGGGGAAAUAUGGGCAGGGAGGUCAUUCUAAGCAAAAGAAACAGGAUAAACAAGGUCACAAAAACAGGAAAAGAAGGGACAUUGUUUGGGGGAAGUGACGUCCACUUUGGAUGAAAUAUCAAGUAACAUGCAAAAUGAUAGGCAAGGAUCACACUCAGGAUUCGGGCUCUGGGGCACCUAUGAGAAGUAUCUGAGAAGUCUUCUGAGAAGAAGCAAGAUACAAUCAGAGGUGGAUACUCAGAUAAUAAUUGGGGGAGAGACUGAAAGUUAGGAGGCCAGCGUCAGCAGUCCAGCUAUGAGGGAGGAAGGGUCUGGAUGGUAAAAACCAAGAUGGAUGAGAAUGACUGAGUAGAGAGAGACAGGAUCAACAGAACUUGGUGAUUGCUUGGAAAGGAAGAUGGGGUGAGAAGUUGGUGACUGAUGGAGGAAAGGAAGACAGGAGGAACAGGACAUGUGGAAUUUAAGAUGCCAAUGUAACAUUCAGAUAGAGCUCUUUAGCAGAAAGCCGGGCAUCUGGGUUUUAGCCUAAAGAGACAAUGGCUGCAAGUAAAGAUUUGAGAGUCAGAAUCGAGAGUGGGGGAAUGGAUGAAAUUGUGAAGGCCAAGUGUGGAGAGCAGAAGUGGCUAAGACUGGCACAGACUCUUCUCGACUCCAGGCCCAGUGUUCUAUCCCCUGAGCCACCAGUGAGCAAUAUCAUAGAUUCAGAGGAUAUCUGAAGUAAAGGAAGCUUUCCUAUCAUCUGGUUUUAGUCUUUUGGAUUAUAAGUAACUUAGAACCUAAGGAAAGAGUUGCUUCAUGUAUAAAAUGUGGGAGUGGAUGGUGAUUUAUGAUAGCAAUAACUUUUAUUUCUGGGGCUGCUAGGUGGUGCCAUAAUGCACAGACUGUUGGAAUUAAAAUCAGAAGGACCAGAGUUCAAAUCUGGAUUCAGACACACUUACUAGCAGUGCGACACUGGUUCUCUGCUCUGGAGUCAUUUGAAAGAAAUCUAAAUUCUUGUUCAGAGAAUAGCCCUUUAAAUACUAGAUGAUGGCUUCCUAUUCUCCUGAGUCUUUUCUAGGAUUUAAGAAUUGAAGAAAGAUGGGAAGAAAGAAUUCUAGAAUUGCUGGAAUUGAAGGAGCAUAAACAGAGACAGGAGAAUACAAGGCAACUUCCUGAAAUGGAAAGACCAAUCUGGCUGGAUGAGAAAAUGAAGCCACAGGUGCAGUGACUCCUAACAUUACUUGGGCUUCAUCUUCCCCUAGGAUGAUGGCAGCCUUGCCAUUUCAAGGCUAACCAAGCUUUGUUUUCACCCAAUAUGCAAGUAACUGGCUCCAGUUGGAAAGAUUUGAGGGGUUUGGGGCAACUAAAGGAUGUAGUGAAUAGAGCACUGGCCUUGGAAUCAGGAGGACUUGAGUUCAAAUCACAGGACUUGACAUCUCUCUCUCUCCUCCCCUAGCAUCAAAGCAAGUAAAUAUAACUAAAACACUGA